UACGGAGGAUCCAAGCGUUAUCCGGAAUCAUUGGGUUUAAAGGGUCCGUAGGCGGGCCUGUAAGUCAGUGGUGAAAUCCGGCGGCUUAACCGUCGAACUGCCAUUGAUACUGCAGGCCUUGAAUUAUUGGGAAGUAACUAGAAUAUGUAGUGUAGCGGUGAAAUGCUUAGAUAUUACAUGGAAUACCGAUUGCGAAGGCAGGUUACCACCAAUUGAUUGACGCUGAUGGACGAAAGCGUGGGGAGCGAACAGG
rnacentral:rRNA from 1 species